GUGCUUGCUUCGGCAACACAUGUACUCAAAUUGGAACGAUACAGAGAUUAGCAUGGUCCCUGUGCAAGGAAGACAUGCAAAUUCGUGAAGCAUUCAUAUUUUUA